rnacentral:misc_RNA from 1 species
UUAACUAUUAGAUAGUACUCAGACAUCACUAACAUUCAGAGUUUGGUUCUCUGGCGGGCACACACGAGCAGAGCCCGCAGUGGAGGCCACGGCCCGCCAAAGCAACAAAAGUAUGUAGACACGGGUGGGAUUCACUCGGCCCCUAGCUCGAGGGCUAGGGCAUCAGUAUCCCGCGCGACUGGUAAUGCUGUGAGUUUAGGACAGCCCCACAAGGUCGAGUAAUCGACGUCGCUUGGGUACACCGGUGAUCGUUUUUUAAUGAUCCUUCCGCAGGUUCACCUACGGAAA